UACGUAGGGGGCUAGCGUUGUCCGGAUUUAUUGGGCGUAAAGAGCGUGUAGGCGGCCAGGUAGGUCUGGUGUGAAAACUCGAGGCUUAACCUCGAGAUGUCAUCGGAAACCAUCUGGCUAGAGUCCGGAAGAGGAGAGUGGAAUUCCUGGUGUAGCGGUGAAAUGCGCAGAUAUCAGGAAGAACACCAAUGGCGAAAGCAGCUCUCUGGGACGGUACUGACGCUGAGACGCGAAAGCGUGGGGAGCGAAACAGG
rnacentral:rRNA from 1 species